UACGGAAGGCAGCAGUGGGGAAUAUUGCACAAUGGGCGCAAGCCUGAUGCAGCCAUGCCGCGUGUAUGAAGAAGGCCUUCGGGUUGUAAAGUACUUUCAGCGGGGAGGAAGGCGAUGCGGUUAAUAACCGCGUCGAUUGACGUUACCCGCAGAAGAAGCACCGGCUAACUCCGUGCCAGCAGCCGCGGUAAUACGGAGGGUGCAAGCGUUAAUCGGAAUUACUGGGCGUAAAGCGCACGCAGGCGGUCUGUUAAGUCAGAUGUGAAAUCCCCGGGCUUAACCUGGGAACUGCAUUUUGAAACUGGCAGGCUUGAGUCUUGUAGAGGGGGUAGAAUUCCAGGUGUAGCGGUGAAAUGCGUAGAGAUCUGGAGGGAAUACCGGUGGCGAAGGGCGGGCCCCCUGGGACAAAGACUGACGCUCAGGGUGCGGAAGCGUGGGGAGCGAAACAGGGAUUAAUACC
rnacentral:rRNA from 1 species